CUCUUCCUGUGUGUACUGUCGGCUUCACCCCGAGACAAUAAAUUGUUGUAAUUAUAAUAAUCCUGGUGUUUAAAUCAGUGCUUGGUGUUUACGCGGAGGCAACCGUGUAACCGCGUCAAAUCGGCCAAUGAGGAACAAUAAGGAAGAAACCAGGCCUUUUUUUUCGAGAAUCAGAGUGGCACAUUCGACUGAUCGUCUCAUCAUCGAUAGAUCCAGCGUGCAGCUUUCUAAACAUCGACUAAUUACCCCGAUGAGGAUGCAGAGAGUUGCAAUCCCCGAAGAAGCGUUGCUUGGAACCAGCCGCGUAAUUAAAAGCCGCGCUCUCCUCCUCGUUCCCCCGAACGAGCGACCCAUACAUCUCGCCGUAAACUUUCCAAAUAAUUAUACCGAGUAUUAUUUAAUUCAAGUAAUGACUACCGUGGCGAGACCGAAUGCUGUAACACAACAGGGCCGAAACAGAGGAAUGGAAGGGUGGAGGAGGACGUAAGACGAGAGAAGUAAGAUUUGUCCUGGAUCUUAAACUCGCGUCUCUCUUCCACGCCUCCCUCCUCCCUCUCCUCACUCCUCUCUCUGCUCGCGUGAAUAAUUCGCACGUAAGACGAAUUUCACGUUCCCGCGAGACUAAGCGUAUAUACACGAUCUUUUUCAUCGAACACCAUCGCCGAGUUUCCGUGAAACACGCCACCCUUCCCCCUCUCCCUCCGUCUCUCUCUCUCGGUAUUAUAUCGAGGCGCGAGAUGUGUCAGAAGACACGAGGAGAGAUGCUGCGCACGGGGGAGGACGAGAAUGAACACCAGUGAACAACCGGGCUGGUUUGCACGUAGCAAUUUACGGAAACCGCACGUAACUCGCGUUCGAGGCGGAGGGACGAGGUGAAGUCGACACGGAGCGUUUCCACGGAGUGUUACGUAACGGAUCGGCGCUAGAUCGCCGGCCAGAGUAACUGUAUUUUCGAAGAAGAGGCCUCUCCUUGGCCGAGGAGGAAAUCACGAAGCAGAACUUCGCCUCUGGGACCGGGAUGGCGGCGUGUGGGCCUUCUAUUCUUCCCAUUUUUCCAUCACACCGAUACCUACGGUUUCUUUCGAACCGGUGGUAGUGGAUAGAAGGUUGCUGUUGAUUAGCGAUCGAAAGAUUAGUUCUAUUAUAAUAUCGAUCGAUCGAUGGAGGAGCAAAGGUGGAGGAAUGUUAUGCUUCGUUGUAUGCUAAUGCAGGUGUGUGGUAAGAAGCGUGUCUGAAGAUUGAUUGGGUAUUUUGUUUGAAGGUAAGAUAUAUUUGUUAUUAUAAAUUGUCGAACUAAAUGUUCGAAUUUAAAUUUAAAUGUGAAUUUUAAAUUCAGAGGUUUGGAAUGUUACGAGUAAAGUAUUUUUUGAAGGUAUCUGCAUAGAUACUGAAGAUUUUUUUAACGAAAGUAGAUAGUAGCAUCUUGAUGCACUUUAUACAAACUGUAAUUUACGAUUGUUCGUCGAUUAUAUUCCUAGUUUAAUUUUUUUCAAGAUGAUCAAAGCGUACCAGGAACUGGACAAGCGAAGGACAUUAAUAAGUAGUCGAUAAUAAAGCUUGAUACAAAAUAGAUAGUAUAACUCCUUCGGUAUUAUAAUUUUUCUAUUGCUCUAUAGUGCACAUACGAUUAUUUCGUUUUCGCAUUCAGCGAUCAAUUGAAACGAUCGAUGAUUACACCGAUGACUAAUCUUUUUCGCCAUUACUCGGUGAAGACUCGAGUAGAAAUCCUUCGUUUUCCAGAUCCAUGCAAUCACAUAUUAUUUUUCACGAUAUUCAAUUAACGUGGAAUCGUUGAAAAAUGCUGCGAACACCGCGAGAUAUUUGCAAUUUUCUCGACGAAUUAUUAAAAAGAAAAAUGACCCCGAUCUAUUCCUAAACAAAAAAUCCGCUCAAUUCCAGUCUUGAACUUUAAAAAAUUUAAUCUCAGAAAUUGGAUUCUCUCACGAAUCUCCAUCUCUCUCGAUCUCCACCAUAAAAGAAAAUCAUCUCUUUGCACAGAGGAACAACGAAUCGACGAAUCGACAGACGAUGAAACGAAAAGAACCGGAAGAAGGUCGAAAGCGGAAGUUGCAUGGGCAACAACUAGCGAACAAUGCGCGUGUCCCAGUCGUUUAAUAACCCUGAUUUGUCGUUUAUACGGGACGUAAUGGAGAACAACAGAGAUAGGAACGAAGAGACAGAAACAGAAACGAACGACAGACGAUGAGGAAGAGAGAAAGAAAGAGAGACGAGCGGAACAUAGUAGAGGAGAGAAGGGGUGGUGGCGAUGAUGGGAUGAGAGGGUGAGCAUCGAGAUCGCGCGCAACAACCGUACAUAAUCACGUAAUGCGGUUAUCAUGCCAAUUGCGUAAAUAUUUGAGCCAAUUUGUGGCAUGCAACCGAGUCUCUCUCUCUCUCUCUCUCUCUCUCUCUCUCUCUCUCUCUCCUCGACCCGUGCACUGCUUCACGAGACCGCCACCCGAUCGGCGACCUAUUUAGCGAACAACUUGUUGUCGCUGUUCGCCAUCCUCUGUGAAUCUCUCUUCCCUCUCUCUUUCAUUACUUUCCACGAUGCCCACGGUAUCCUGUCCUCGUCGCACGUUUGCACGAGGGAUAAUAAUUCGACGGUGCCGCCGAAACGCAUUUCGACCCAGCGGCCUCGCCACCACUCCUACGAUCGACAAUGGGACACAACCGCGAUACUCUCGUGCUCUUACAUUCGCAUGCACACGGGGACAUGGGAGCGGAUCGAUCGCUCGACGCGAUAAAAAGCUUUGGGAAUUGCCAGGGUCGAUAUUUCUUUUUAGGAUAUUCUUUUUGUGGGAGGAGAGGGAUUGGGAGUGUUUCUCUCGUAAUUUGGUAAUGGACUUGAUUCGUUUGGGAUGCGUGGUAUAUAUGGAGGAAGUAAAUGCGACGUGUUAUAUCUUCCGUGGAAUCUUCAUAGUAUAGUAAUAGUUCUUCGUGUAAUUUGGUAUACAAGGAUAGUUGGAAAUUUCACUGAGUGAGAAGAAAAUCUUUUACGAGAGAAGAAAGUUUCACAAACUUGAAGGAAUCCACGUAUGAUUUGAAUUAUUCGGGAUUAAUUCGGGAGAAUUUUACAUCUCACGAUUCGAGGAAUUGGUCAGUAAUGAAACUCGUCUCUUCUCGUGUUUAAAUCUACGCAAAAAACUACUUCGGUAGAAGGUUUCAUCUUAAUCCCUCCUCCCAUAAAACGAAAGAUCUUUAUUCACUCUUCCAGAAAUUCUGUGUAAUGCCCUGAAAUGAGGAGAGAUCUGGAAGGAUGCAGUUGAAUUAGGGAAGAGGGCGAGGAAGAGAGUAGAGGAGGGUAGGAAGGUGAGAGGAACUGGCUGCUCCGUCCGAAGCUUUUUCCACGCAGGGUAAUUCGCCGCCGGUAAGUGUAGGCCCUGGUUCCUGGUUCCUGCUCCGUUUCACCCUGCGAGAGGGGCCCGUGGCUUUCACUCCCGAUAUUCUGCGUGUGCGCGCUCGCCUCGACCGUGUCUCUGUCCGUGUGCCGCCUUCUCAUCCCUGCAGGUAGAACUGGCGGCCGGGCAUGGAUCAAUUAGGAGAACGUACAAGUGUAGGACCUCGUAAACCUGCCGGCCGGACUUCCCUCGGGAUACGGCUCGUGUGAAAAAAAGGAAAAAGAAGAAAAAAAAAA